CAUCAUAAGAAGAACAAGAAGCUGCUGUGUUUGUACUGUAGAGCCUCAUCUGUCUUUAAUAAUGCAGUCAGCAGAAGAGGGAGAAGUCACCCCUGUAGAUCUACAACAUGAAGAAUUCCAGAAGAAACUAAUAAAAGAGGAGGAGGAGGAGGAGGAUGAUGAUUUCUUCUGUGAAGUCACUUUAAUCCCUCCAGAACUUGUUGCUUCUGUGGAACUGCUCUUCUCAGAGGACCAACAGUGUGGAGGUUUCCAGAUGAAGCCUGUGAAGAAGGAAGAAC